AUGGGCUUGGCUGCAGGUCAGAUUUGCAUUGUUGCAAUCAUUUUUUCUUUUGCAGGUAACAGACACCUGAGCCAUGUACUCCUCUUGAUGGAUCACAGGAGCACAAGAUGGGCAAAGAGAAGAGAACAGAAAGAUAUGGAGAAGCUAUUUAUAGUUCACCCCUGCCUAGACGAAAUGACUUUAAACACAGUAUAUGAAACUCCUCAAGAUAUAAAAUGCUCCCCAUAUUACCUCCCCCACCACCCACGUCCAAGAAUCCAGGAUGGGGGCAGGUAAAGGGGAAAGAAGAUCAGCAGCUUCGGAAGGGGGUCUCUAUGGGAGGGCAUUUUCAGAGUCUGUCAGCCUCACUCAACCUUCGGGGUUCCGGCUAACGCAUUUUGACAGGGAAGAGAGUUGAUUCUGAAUAAAUGAAUCCUUUUAUGUAGAGAAUUUCUGGGGAGCAGUGCAGAGUGAGAAAAACCAACACCCAUGACUUCCUCUUGUGGAAUUCUGGGCUGAUGCUCCAUCUGACUCCAGGUAAUCGUGGGGCAUUUCUUUCAAUGCCAUCCAUAUUCCUGGACUGGAAAAAAAAGUUUCAAAGACUAAACCCCAUGCCGAGGAGCUGAUUUCUUAUAACAAUAGUUAACGAUGAGUGUUCUUGAAACCCCUUUUUAAUCAAAGGACAGGGAUUGUCAGUGCAGAUAUCACUGUAUUAAGGCCAAACUGAAAGCCUGGUCAGGGUUUCUAUACUGUAGAUAAAACCACUAAUAAAGGCAGCUCUAAGAUAUUUCUGUGAAAGAUUCAGAAAGAACACUAAUUAACCCAGACAGGGAAUCUUCCAAAGAUGUAUUCCUUCUGCUGAAGAAUAUCCUGUAUUGGCAUUUUUGUGAAUCAUUCUUGACAUUUUGCCAGUUCUGCUGUCAGCUUUCAAGGGAUACAGAAAUAGUGAGUAGAUUUUUAAAAGCAAAAAUCUAUAAAACAAAGUCUGAUUACAACACUACUGGCUGGCUUAAAAACAAAACACAGAGAUGAUCAUUAAAAAACAAAACUUCUAGCAAAGUCUCCUGUGGUAAAAUAGCUUCAUCGGGUUGGUCUGAGACCAUGUCUGAAAGAGCCAACUUAGAUUGAAUUAUAGUAUUCUCUGGAUUACAAGUGUAAAAGUGUUUUGGGUUAUUGUUUAGUGAACAUGUCUGGGUGAGCAGACAGUCAUACAUAUGUACAUAUAUUCAUUCAGUGAAUAUUUAUUAAACACCUAUUAUGUGCCAGACACUGCUCAUAAACUCUUACAAGAGCUACUGUUACUACUUUUUAU
rnacentral:lncRNA from 1 species